rnacentral:rRNA from 1 species
UACGUAGGGGGCUAGCGUUGUCCGGAAUCACUGGGCGUAAAGCGCACGUAGGCGGAUCUUUAAGUCAGGGGUGAAAUCCUGGAGCUCAACUCCAGAACUGCCUUUGAUACUGGGGAUCUCGAGUCCGGGAGAGGUGAGUGGAACUCCGAGUGUAGAGGUGAAAUUCGUAGAUAUUCGGAAGAACACCAGUGGCGAAGGCGGCUCACUGGCCCGGUACUGACGCUGAGGUGCGAAAGCGUGGGGAGCAAACAGG